GGUCUAAAGUAGUGCACUAUAUAGGGAAUAGGGUGCCAUUUGAGACACAGCACUGGAAACUCUGCUGAUGUUGUGAUGUCAUACACAGUGAUGAUGUCAUCCAUCAGGGCUGGACACCAUUGGCUGGCGACUACUGAUGAGAUCAUUGAUUAAUAAAGGUAAACAUCGAACAAGGUAAACAUCUAGGAGCAUGGAACACUAUCAU